rnacentral:rRNA from 1 species
ACGAACGCUGGCGGCUGCUUAACACAUGCAAGUCGAACGGAGUGGCGAACGGGUGAGUAACGCGUGAGCAACCUGCCUAUGACAGUGGGAUAGCCUCGGGAAACCGGGAUUAAUACCGCAUAGUCAUAGAUGGGCUCGAGUAUGAUUAGCUAGUGGGGGAGUUAACAGCCCACCAAGGCGACGAUCAGUAGCCGGUCGUAGAGGAUGAACGGCCACAUUGGAACGUAGACACGGUCCAAACUCCUACGGGAGGCAGCAGGGGGGAAUAUUGCACAAUGGGGGAAACCAUGAUGCAGCGACGCCGCGUGAACGAAGAAGGUAUUCGUAUCGUAAAGUUCUGUCCUAUGGGAAGCAGUACCAUAGAAGAAAGCUCCGGCUAAAUACGUGCCAGCAGCCGCGGUAAUAC